ensembl:lncRNA
AGGCUGCUGCCAUGGCUGCUUCUGAUGAGCACCGAAGAUUCAAGAACUGCAGCAGAUUCACUCUGCUGUGUGCUCCUUCUUGAAAAGACAUGCAGACAUAAGAUAGGAGUGUUAAAGACUUCAAAAAGGGCUCUGUCCCCCAAGACAGAAAUAAAUGGGGUCAGCAAAACCAGAGAAAAUUGCCAUCUCUAAGUAGCUGCUAAGUGGGGUGACUGAAUUUCACAUUCACUACCCCAGAGACUUCUCCCAACCUCUAUUUAACAUGGGCUGACAAUAUUCUGAGACAGCUAAAGAAAGUCUAGCAAAUUACCCAAGAAACCCAGGGAUAGAAUCCUCCAGGGUUUCGAGAAAAGAUCUCAUGUGACACAGACAUUUACUUUCCCAGGUUCUAUUUCACCUGCCCACACACUUGCCAGUCUUAUCCCAAUUCAAAAAAUAUAUAAAUCCACCUUCAGCUUUUCCAUCAUCCUCACUGCCUUCUCAGUAACAGAAGAGCCCCACAAUGAUUGUGUCAACUCACUGCCCACUUCCUCCUUCAACAUAUUCCAGAACCAACUCUGACCCUUGGCUCCUAUUGUGAACAGCAGACACAGCCCCUACCAUCAUUUUAAAAAACUGGUCAAAUGCAAACAUGAGUCCCAAGUUCUUUCUGCUUCAACCUUAGAAAAAGGAACAUAGGACUUACUAAGAUGGCAAGGCAGAGGUCAGAAGAAACACGCACGUUCCAUCGCCUUAUAACCCAUUCUUUACCCAGAAGAGGAAUAAUGAGUAUUCCUCUUCGUUGCAGCAAACUUCAACCCAAGACUGCUUUGGACCUUCAGCUUGGCCUGAGUCCAGACAAAACCCAGAGGGCCAAGCCUGAAAGGCCCAAGUCUGGUUGGUCAGUUUCUGCCCCUCAACCCAAAGGCAGAAAAGCAGUCACUGAUAAUUACUCUUUUCCUAUUCAUCAAACUAUUUCCUCCUCACCUCCCUCUGUCAUAGAGCUCCAUCUUCCCUCACAGAGUUCUUACGAAGCAGUUCCUGGUACCACUGGAAAGAAUUACUCUCCAGGAAAAUACAACUUUGCUAAGCAGAAGAGCUUCACACACAGCAAUUUGCCAGGGGUCAAUUUUUCAUUCCAGGCAGGCUUCGAAGCCUGGCACAAAUCUGCCAGUGGCUCCGCAGUUCACCCGGCUUCCCUCCCCUAAUCUCUGCCUGGAACUCACCCACCCACCCCUUUGCAGCUUGAAAACAGAAAAACAGCAGUACAGGCAACUCUUAACACCUUCUUCAAAGCCUGCUCCCUGCCUAAUGUGUCUUCCACACCACAUUCCUUUGCUUAUGGUAAGGACCAUAAGCACCAAAUAAAGUCACUUACUGCAGCAGCAGCUUCCGGACAAGACAGGAGUAACAUUUCAUCUCUCCAAGGCUCAAUUACAGUCAGCUUCACUUUCCUGCAAUUUUGUGGCCAUGCAUCACUGGCCCUGCCCUCUGUUAAAAUCAUUGCCUGGAGUCAGAGUCAUCAAACCACGAAUGUUUUGAAAAGCCUGUGCUUUGGCCAGUAAGGUCUGGGUUCAAGUCCCAGCUCUGCCUCUCAUUACCAAUUAAAAAGUACCUGUCCUGGGGUAAACUAUUCUUUCAAAACUUCAGAUUACAUAUCUGUAAAAAUGUAGCCAAUGAUCCUAUCCACUUGUUCAGUACUAUAAACGAGAUAACACAAACAGAAAACUCAGCACAAGACAUGAGCCUUAAUAAACAAGUUACUGUUGAUAUUCAGUAUCCAUGGGGGUAAUCUGUGGACAGGUAUGGUCACCCCAUUAGAAUCCAGAUGCCCCGGAAACCUCCAGCAUCUGUAGAAGUAAAAAUACAGUCAGCCCAUUUCCACUCCCACUCUACAAGUAAGAGGGACCUUUAAGAAAAAUUCAAGCCUCAGCAAAGGAAAAAAACUCAGACAAGAUUCACUCGGUGCUGGCAAUCCCACUACCAGACCACCGAGCACUGCUCUGUCCCUACGGUGAAGGGAAAGCUAAGGGCCAACGAGAAAGCUAAUUUAAGAGAAGACACUUCAAGAUAACCCUUUCAUAGGUCAGGUCAAUAUUUCAGAGAGGUGAAACUAUGUGGACCAUGGAAAUUCCCUCCUCACUCAGUUUCUGAUAAAUUCUGACUCUCCCUUUAUGUAUAAAUAAGUGGGAAACGCACUACUGAAAAGCCUAAGAAUCUCAAUCGGAGGCAGAAUACUGCCUAAGAAGUGACUAUGUGAAUAUCCGGGAAAAAAAAAAUCUUGAAAUCUAAUUCAUACAUAAGCUGAGAAACAUUAUAAUCCUGUGAAAGACAAUGAGCCAAGAAAACAGAAUGUUUUUCAAACUUUCUACAUCUAUAAAAGGCUGCAGAGCUUUGGGACAAAGUGUCAUAAGGAAUAUUACCAGAUGGAAAAGUCAGAAUUGCGACCUGAAAUGAAAGCCUGUGGCCAUCACAACCAGAAAUUCUGGUAACAAUGAAGAAAUGUCAAUUUCCAAUCCUAGGGAAUGUUGAGGGGAGGCCAACAGAGGGGACAAUUGAUAAAGAGAAUUUAUAUUACAAAAUUAUGACGGGGUUAAUUUUUAAUGAAACUUGCAAGGUUUUAAAUGCACCACUCAAGGAUGUAGAGAGUGAGGGGAUAUAUAAUCAGGCAGAAUUUACAGUAACAGCAGGGGGCUGGGAAUCAGAACAUUUAGGCUCCGGUCCUGGCUCCAACCCAAACCACCAUGUGACCUUAGGCAAGUCACUUGUCCUCUUCAAAGUUGUCU